UAAACGUAGUGACAAAUAAAUUUCAAUAAAUAUUUAGAGCUGUUUCAACUUCGUCUGGUAUUGUAUAAGCUAUUGCAUUUUGUUUAUUUCCCCAUGUUUCUAAUCUUUGUAAAUGUUAGAACAUAUAUAACUAUCCUGGCAUAUUAAUAUGGAAAAUAUUAAGGUAGAUCUAAGUAUUAAAAAAAAUCACAGUUUUAAUUAGGAUAAAUACCCCAAAGUGUUAACACUUUUAUCACUUAUUGGUGGGCCAAUUCAUAAUUCAUAUUCAACAUUCUUGCUUCAAAUAUGGGAACUAUUUAUUUUAUUUGGCAAUAUAUAUUUUUCAUUUAUGUACAUAUUUUUCAAAUAAGGUUUUAGAAACUUGGCCAUGAUAUUCACUUGAAUCACUAGUUUGAGUGUACAGCAGAAAGGUUAAGUUACUGCUUUUGAAAAACUACAGUUGAUCUGUUGACUGAUAAAACUAUUUGCCAAUAUUACUAUCAGUUACAUCAUACUCUAUUAGUCUAAGUAAAUGGGAUUUAUCUAUACAGUACUGGUUUAUUUAAGAAUGUGAUACUUUGUGGUUUCUGUUUUUCUUUCAGGUGGAGAAAACAGUAUUGUGGGAGCGUAUUUGUUUAAAGUACAUAUCACUGACAGAAAGUUACCAAGGCAUAAGGAGAGACUGAGGAUACAGUUGAAGAUCAUCCCUGUGACUUUUCAUUUGAGGACUGAAAAGGCUCCCCAGCAACUCAGCCCAUGUUCUGACUUGUCAUUUAACAAAUAAAUAAAGGUCACCUCAA